rnacentral:rRNA from 1 species
GCGGAUUAGCGGCGGACGGGUGAGUAACACGUGAGUAACCUGCCUUAGACAUUGGGAUAGCCUCGGGAAACCGGGAUUAAUACCAAAUAAAAUCAUAAUGACACAUGUCAUAACGAUCAAAACUCCGGUGGUCUAAGAUGGACUCGCGUCCCAUUAGCUAGUUGGUAGAGUAAAAGCCUACCAAGGCGACGAUGGGUAGCCGGCCUGAGAGGGUGAACGGCCACAUUGGAACUGAGAAACGGUCCAA